UACGAAGGGGGCUAGCGUUGCUCGGAAUCACUGGGCGUAAAGGGUGCGUAGGCGGGGCUUUAAGUCAGGGGUGAAAUCCUUGGGCUUAACUCAAGAAGUGCCCCAGAAACGGUGAGACUGGAGUCCUGGAGAGGGUCGUGGAAUUCCCGGUGUAGCGGUGAAAUGCGUAGAGAUCGGGAGGAACACCAGAGGCGAAGGCGGCGACCUGGACAGGUACUGACACUCAACUACGAAAGCGUGGGGAGCAAACAGG
rnacentral:rRNA from 1 species